GACGAACGCUGGCGGCGUGCCUAAUACAUGCAAGUCGAGCGAGCGGAACUAACAGAUUUACUUCGGUAAUGACGUUAGGAAAGCGAGCGGCGGAUGGGUGAGUAACACGUGGGGAACCUGCCCCAUAGUCUGGGAUACCACUUGGAAACAGGUGCUAAUACCGGAUAAGAAAGCAGAUCGCAUGAUCAGCUUUUAAAAGGCGGCGUAAGCUGUCGCUAUGGGAUGGCCCCGCGGUGCAUUAGCUAGUUGGUAAGGUAAAGGCUUACCAAGGCGAUGAUGCAUAGCCGAGUCGAGAGACUGAUCGGCCACAUUGGGACUGAGACACGGCCCAAACUCCUACGGGAGGCAGCAGUAGGGAAUCUUCCACAAUGGACGCAAGUCUGAUGGAGCAACGCUGCGUGAGUGAAGAAGGUUUUCGGAUCGUAAAGCUCUGUUGUUGGUGAAGAAGGAUAGAGGUAGUAACUGGCCUUUAUUUGACGGUAAUCAACCAGAAAGUCACGGCUAACUACGUG
rnacentral:rRNA from 1 species